rnacentral:rRNA from 1 species
CCUACGGGAGGCAGCAGUGGGGAAUAUUGCACAAUGGGCGAAAGCCUGAUGCAGCAACGCCGCGUGGGGGAUGACGGCCUUCGGGUUGUAAACCUCUUUUAGUAGGGAAGAAGGACUUCGGUUUGACGGUACCUGCAGAAAAAGCACCGGCUAACUACGUGCCAGCAGCCGCGGUAAUACGUAGGGUGCAAGCGUUGUCCGGAAUUAUUGGGCGUAAAGAGCUCGUAGGCGGUUUGUCGCGUCUGCUGUGAAAACCCCGAGGCUCAACCUCGGGCCUGCAGUGGGUACGGGCAGACUAGAGUGCGGUAGGGGAGAAUGGAAUUCCUGGUGUAGCGGUGGAAUGCGCAGAUAUCAGGAGGAACACCGAUGGCGAAGGCAGUUCUCUGGGCCGUUACUGACGCUGAGGAGCGAAAGCAUGGGGAGCGAACAGGAUUAGAUACCCUGGUAGUCCAUGCCGUAAACGUUGGGAACUAGAUGUGGGGACCUUUCCACGGUCUCCGUGUCGCNGCUACGCAUACGUUCCCGUCCGUCGGUAGGUACGGCCGCGACGACGUAAACUACAAUAGAAUAGACGGCGUGAGACGUCGCCGACGACGACGACGAGGGAGAGG